rnacentral:misc_RNA from 1 species
AUUAGCAUUGCUAUUUACUCUUUUUCUAGACGACUGAUUUAAUUUUUGGAAUACCCUCGUAUUGUAUUACGUCGCGGUUCACCUUAGGGGGUAGUAGUGUCGCGACGCGCUGGGUUUGCUGUAUAUAAGCCUCAGGGCGAGGGUUUGCGGUCUCUUUGUUGGAUUCUCUCGCCGACUUAAGAUCUGGGUGCAAUUUAUUGUGGGGUCCUUGGUGUGGCGUUUGCGGCGGCGCUUGUGGAUGGAGAGUUACCUCGUGGCGUCCUUCUGAAGGUCCGAGGACCCCACAUUCCGAGUUCUCUCACAACCCGAAUCACCGACAACCCGAAUUAGCCACAACCCGAAUUCUCUUCAAGC